CACAAACGAGAGAACAGCUCACUGACCAUUUUACUUGCCCUAACAGAUCUGGCUAGGCUGUUUUUAUGUCAUCCAGGGCGUUGGUGACUGCAACUGUGCUGCUGGCAACAAUUUACGCUUUUUUCCAACGUUUACUGACACCGCAUAUAGGGUGUUGAGCAUAAAUUCGUCAAAUAUUCUGCGCUCUGGCACACACAGACGAAAGUGCUCUGAAAUCGGAGUAGAUAGCCAGAGCGAAUUUACGAGACUGAAGAUGCACUGAAGGAAUACCUGGAAAGAAAGGCCAGCAUUGGCCAAACCAUCCUGUAAGCAGACCAGUCCCUCACUGAAGCAGAGAGCAGAAGCUCUCUCCAUCCUGGUGUCUCACCCUGGAAGAAGAGUCCACUUGGCUGCUUGGAGGCCACUGCUGAGACAGCCAGCCACACCACCGUGUCGGCCCCCAUGGACUCCGUACGCAGCUUGUUCUUCAUCUUAGCAUGGAAGUCAGGCAUGGACAACUGGACAGCUACAGGGAACACAGAGACACAGAUACAUUAGCAAGUCAACAGAUGCAGGGAGUUUUUCCAACACAGAAUAAUCAUUAAGAAAUGCAUGGAGGCUUGUACUGAUGAAUAUUUGUCUAGAUUUCUGACUUUAGAUAAGUGUACCUGGAGUAUCAGCCCAGCCAGGGUGCAUUGAUGAAAAGUGGAUCUCUUUAUGCUGGGACGCCCAUCUCUCGGUCAGUAUCACCUGUUGUCUCUGUCACCACAACACACAGCACAUCACUUUCACAGAGAAUAUAACAGAACUGUAACAUACUUUUUUACAGAUUUAUUUUGUGGUCAUAGGCUAGAUAAUGCAUUUGCUCAGGGGUGAGUGGGUAGUAGAGCUGCACCAUAUCCUAACUUUAUUCUGAGCGUAGGCCAUAGUGCCGUCGAACAUCCCCUUUUCAGACUGCAGGUCGUCUACUUUCAUCUUCUGGACCAGCAUGCCCCCUGAAGACACUGUGAUCUGGAGGAGAGGGGUGAUUAUCAUCAUGACAAUAUGGGCUGUUAGACUGCUAGACAGAUGGAACAUGUCCUUUUGUUGUUUUUGUAAUAUGUAAUAGAUUCCUUUGAUGCAUUUGUUCAGACACACUAGGCCCUCUGCUGGUCAAUUAGACAUUAAUACAAGCGCAAACAAACACAGAACUAAUGGCAAACACAGAACUAAAGGCCAUACAAGAGCCACUUUUCAAACUUUUCUCAUUUCAUUGAUUGGGCCAAUGUCAUCUGUCUAAGGCAGGACAUUACUCACCACUCGUGGGUCCUGUGCCUGUUUCAGGGCUGGUAUCAACGCUGUGGUUAGGAUGAAGGUACCUAACCAAGUGAACAGUAAUGAUGAGGAAGAACAUUGUGAGAAAACAUAUCAACCUAUAUAGGUAAGUGGUGUGCAUUGUUUCCAAUGAGACGUGACUACUGCCCUUGGGUUGAUCUUACUUACCGAGAGUGUUAGUAGCAAAGUUCUUCUCUACACCUUCCUCUGUCAGCUCUUUCUGGUUUACCAUACACCCUGCAUUGUUGAUCUGGGGAAGAAAGAAUCAUAAUUAAUAAACUUGUAUUGAAUUAAUUCAAUGAAUCUAAUCACUCAUGUGGAAUCAUACCCAAUCACUCAUAUUGAAUCAUUCAUAUAUCAUCCUAUUCAAACUAGCAGCCCAUCAACCCUUUAAUCUAUUCAAUGGACUAACCCAUGUGUGGGGCUUGGAGAUGAUUCACCCACCUAACAGAUACCUUACCAGUACAUGAAUGCUGUUGCUUUUUGAGAAGCUCUCUGCAAACUCCCACACUUGUCUUGCACUGGACAUGUCAACGAUGUGAACAUGGACAUUCUGCAGAGACAAAGAAAAUGUAAAUGAAAAAGAAACCACAUAGAAGCACAUUAAGUGCUUCUACAUCUGCAUUGCUUGCGGUUUGGGGUUUUAAGCUGGGUUUCUGUACAGCACUUUAAGAUAUCAGCUGAUGUAAGAAGGGCUAUAUAAAUAUAUAAAUACAUUUGAUUUGAUUUGAUUCUGAACUAUUACGCUGGCAGUUGGAAAGAUUGAUUACAGUAUUCAAAUUGGAUCACAAAGAAGCCAAACAUGGAAUUUUGGGAGUGUGAGCCGGGGACUUGAGUAUAGACACAGCAGUGUUACUUUUCUACCAAACCAGAGGCGUAACAACCCCCAGACAUGAUUGUGCAGGAACUAUCAAACCAUCCUCUGUUUCUGUUUGACUAAGUGCUUGUCCACAAUAAUCAGUCUAAGCAAGGCAAGAAGCAGAUCAUCUCAUCUGUAAAUCACCUCAACUUCCACCCAACUGGGCAUAAAAGAUCCUUAUCAUUGUUAGAUUAGCCAAACUAAUCUGUGCAGCACCUAACUCAUGAUGACCCCAUGAAUAUGCCACAUUGUGACCCCAUGAACAAAGCUGAUCACAAUUUACUCAAUGGCUUGCUCUUCAUCAUUCACCAGACCUUUGCUGGGCAUGAAUAAACAUGUGUGGUGUUA